rnacentral:rRNA from 1 species
AACGAACGCUGGCGGCAUGCUUAACACAUGCGAGUCGAACGAGACCUUCGGGUCUAGUGGCGCACGGGUGCGUAACGCGUGGGAAUCUGCCCCUCGGUUCGGAAUAACAGUUAGAAAUGACUGCUAAUACCGGAUGAUGACUUCGGUCCAAAGAUUUAUCGCCGAGGGAUGAGCCCGCGUAAGAUUAGGUAGUUGGUGGGGUAAAGGCCUACCAAGCCGACGAUCUUUAGCUGGUCUGAGAGGAUGAUCAGCCACACUGGGACUGAGACACGGCCCAAACUCCUACGGGAGGCAGCAGUGGGGAAUCUUGCGCAAUGGGCGAAAGCCUGACGCAGCCAUGCCGCGUGAAUGAUGAAGGUCUUAGGAUUGUAAAAUUCUUUCACCGGGGACGAUAAUGACGGUACCCGGAGAAGAAGCCCCGGCUAACUUCGUGCCAGCCGCCGCUGUAA